rnacentral:rRNA from 1 species
GACGAACGCUGGCGGCGUGCUUAACACAUGCAAGUCGAACGGAAAGGCCCUGCUUUUGUGGGGUGCUCGAGUGGCGAACGGGUGAGUAACACGUGAGUAACCUGCCCUUGACUUUGGGAUAACUUCAGGAAACUGGGGCUAAUACCGGAUAGGAGCUCCUGCUGCAUGGUGGGGGUUGGAAAGUUUCGGCGGUUGGGGAUGGACUCGCGGCUUAUCAGCUUGUUGGUGGGGUAGUGGCUUACCAAGGCUUUGACGGGUAGCCGGCCUGAGAGGGUGACCGGCCACAUGGGGACUGAGAUACGGACCAGACUCCUACGGGAGGCAGCAGUGGGGAAUAUGGCACAAUGGGCGGAAGCCUGAUGCAGCAACGCCGCGUGCGGGAUGACGGCCUUCGGGUUGUAAACCGCUUUCGCCUGUGACGAAGCGUGAGUGACGGUAAUGGGUAAAGAAGCACCGGCUAACUACGUG